rnacentral:rRNA from 1 species
GUCCUUUUGAGAAAAAUAAAAGGUCGGGCCUGCUCAAUGACUAGGUUAAAUAGCUGCAGUAUCUUGACUGUACAAAGGUAGCAUAAUCAUUAGUUUCUUAAUUGGGAACUGGAAUGAAAGGUUUGAUAAAAAAGUGACUGUCUCUUUUAUAAAUAUAGAAAUUUAUUUUUAAGUAAAAAAGCUUAAAUUUAUUUAAAAGACGAGAAGACCCUAUAGAGUUUUAUAAUUUAUUAAUUUUAAUAAGGAAGAUAAAUUAUUUAUUUAAAUUUUGUUAAUUAUUUGGUUGGGGUGAUUUAAAAAUUAAUAAAACUUUUUAGAAAAAUGACUAUAAUUUUAGAUUAAUUUGAUCCAUCUUUGAUGAUUAAAAGAAUAAAUUACCUUAGGGAUAACAGCGUAAUCUUUUUUUAGAGUUCAAAUCAAUAAAAAGGAUUGCGA